GGGGAGAAGCAAAUGCGGGAGUAGGCUCUGGUUGCUUCCGUGGCGCUUUCCCGGUAGAUUCCCUCUAAUGCAUGCGCCCUAAGUGGAGGAUAUGGGGAUUUAGGAAGUAAAUCUCCAAAACUCUGGCAGAUGGGGUGGAUAAACUGAGAACCUAAGCCCAAAUUUGCAGUUCUUCCUCUGGAUGUGGAUAAUGUUCUUUCUCAUAAGGCCCUCACAAUUGUCCUGGAUCACUGCAUUGCUCCUAGUAGAGAAGUCUAAUACAUUCAAUUGUGCCACAGUAUAUCCGUCACUUUAAUUGAACAGCAAUCCCCGACAGAUACUUCUAGACUUGGAGAUGAUUUUGUGAGUUUGAGAGGUUGGAGAACCUGAAUCCUUGGACAGAGCUGAGUGAUGGCAAAGGAAAUCACCACAUUAGAGAGGCAAAUAACCCACAGGGAAAGGAGUUCUACCCCCUGACCUGACUUUCCAGCAAACUUGGACUUUGAAGAAGACAGUAUGGAGCUAGGAUAAAAUUAUAUUAUGCUUAUUUAGCAGUCAUGCAAAUGGUUUUAUGUUCCAGUGUCUAAGCCUCAACCUUCUUAUGUUAACUUUAGUUGUAAUUAAACUGAAUGUUUAAGGCAUGUUAAUGUACAUUUGUGAGAGCUUUUGUGUUAAGCCUUU
rnacentral:lncRNA from 1 species